GACGAACGCUGGCGGCGUGCUUAACACAUGCAAGUCGAGCGGUAAGGCCCUUUCGGGGGUACACGAGCGGCGAACGGGUGAGUAACACGUGGGUGACCUGCCCUCAGCUCUGGGAUAAGCCUGGGAAACCGGGUCUAAUACUGGAUAUGACUCCAUGACGCAUGUUGUGGGGUGGAAAAGCCUUGUGCGGCUGAGGAUGGGCCCGCGGCCUAUCAGC
rnacentral:rRNA from 1 species